rnacentral:rRNA from 1 species
AGUGAACGCUGGCGGUAGGCCUAACACAUGCAAGUCGAACGGCAGCACAGUAAGAGCUUGCUCUUGCGGGUGGCGAGUGGCGGACGGGUGAGGAAUACAUCGGAAUCUACUUUUUCGUGGGGGAUAACGUAGGGAAACUUACGCUAAUACCGCAUACGACCUACGGGUGAAAGUAGGGGAUCUUCGGACCUUGCGCGAUUGAAUGAGCCGAUGUCGGAUUAGCUAGUUGGCGGGGUAAAGGCCCACCAAGGCGACGAUCCGUAGCUGGUCUGAGAGGAUGAUCAGCCACACUGGAACUGAGACACGGUCCAGACUCCUACGGGAGGCAGCAGUGGGGAAUAUUGGACAAUGGGCGCAAGCCUGAUCCAGCCAUACCGCGUGAGUGAAGAAGGCCUUCGGGUUGUAAAACCCUUUUGUUGGGAAAGAAAAGCAGCAGGUUAAUACCCCGCUGUUCUGACGGUACCCAAAGAAUAAGCACCGGCUAACUUCGUG